rnacentral:rRNA from 1 species
UGAAUACGAGAUGCUACGGCGUCGAAGCAGUGUAUGUCAGACUUCCAAGAAAAGCUCGCAAUGUCAUAAAUAAAGAAUGCCUGUACCAUAACCGACACAGGUGGGUAGGUAGAGUAUACUAAGGGGCGCGAGAUAACUCUCUCUAAGGAACUCGGCAAAAUAACUCCGUAACUUCGGGAGAAGGAGUGCCUUCUUUAAGAAGGUUGCAAUAACAAGAUCCAAGCAACUGUUUAUCAAAAACACAGGUCUCCGCUAAGUCGUAAGACGAUGUAUGGGGGCUGACGCCUGACCAGUGCCAGAAGGUUAAAGAAGUUGGUUAGCUUUUGCGAAGCUGAUGACUGAAGCCCUGGUGAACGGCGGCCGUAACUAUAACGGUCCUAAGGUAGCGAAAUUCCUUGUCGGGUAAGUUCCGACCCGCACGAAAGGCGUAAUGAUUUGGAUACUGUCUCGGAGAGGGACUCGGUGAAAUAGACUUGUCUGUGAAGAUGCGGACUACCUGCACCAGGACAGAAAGACCCUAUGAAGCUUUACUGUAACUUGAAAUUGAAAUUGGACUUUAUUUGCGCAGUAUAGGUGGAAGGCGUUGAAAGUAAUCUUGCGGGAUUAGUGGAGCCAUCAGUGAGAUACCACUCCUAUAAUGUUAGAUUUCUAACUUUGGAUCAUGAUCUGGUCAAAGAACAGUUUCAGGCGGGCAGUUUGACUGGGGCGGUCGCCUCCCAAAUGGUAACGGAGGCGUACAAAGGUUUCCUCUGAACGGGUAGAAAUCGUAUCUAGAGUGUAAAGGCGUAAGGAAGCUUGACUGUGAGACCUACAAGUCGAGCAGGGACGAAAGUCGGUCUUAGUGAUCUGACGGUGCUGAGUGGAAAGGCCGUCACUCAACGGAUAAAAGUUACUCUAGGAUAACAGGCUGAUCUCCCCCAAGAGUUCACAUCGACGGGGAGGUUUGGCACCUCGAUGUCGGCUCAUCGCAUCCUGGGGCGGUAGUACGUCCCAAGGGUUGGGCUGUUCGCCCAUGAAAGCGGUACGCGAGCUGGGUUCAGAACGUCGUGAGACAGUUCGGUCCAUAUCCGGUGUAGGCGUUAGAAUAUUGAGAGGAGCCUUCUUUAGUACGAGAGGACCGAGAGGGACAUACCUCUGGUGUACCAGUUAUCGUGCCAACGGUAAGCGCUGGGUAGCUAUGUAUGGAGAGGAUAACCGCUGAAAGCAUCUAAGUGGGAAGCCCACCUCAAGAUGAGUAUUCUC